AAGGGCUGGGAAGGGCGGAG
rnacentral:miRNA from 1 species